GCAACUCGCCUACAUGAAGUCGGAAUCGCUAGUAAUCGCGGAUCAGCAUGCCGCGGUGAAUACGUUCCCGGGCCUUGUACACACCGCCCGUCACACCAUGAGAGUUUGUAACACCCAAAGCCGGUGGGGUAACCUUUUGGAGCCAGCCGUCUAAGGUGGGACAGAUGAUUAGGGUGAAGUCGUAACAAGGUACC
rnacentral:rRNA from 1 species